rnacentral:rRNA from 1 species
AUGACUAGGGAUAACCUUAGGAAGAGACACAUGAUCAAACCCCUUGAUUGUGUUUACUGCUUGGAACAAGAGUCUUGUUCUCACCUAUUUUUUGAAUGUAUAGUUGCUAAACAUCUCUGGGCCCACAUUGAGGAAUAUUUAUCUAGUCAGAUUGGCUCAUCCUUCGAAUCUGUCGCCAGAUUCUGGAUUGCUACCAAAAAGUUCUCAGUUUUAAACAUUGUUAGCUCAGCUGUCCUUUGGUGCCUCUGGAAAUAUAGAAAUGUUAUGAUUUUCAGUAACACCUCCUGGAUUUCCAUUCCGAAGGUCUUGAGGUUGAUUAGGAACAUGGUGAGGAACUGGGCGGUUCUCUCCUCCGGAUCGGACAAGGACAAUUGA